CCUACGGGGGGCAGCAGUGGGGAAUAUUGCACAAUGGGGGAAACCCUGAUGCAGCGACGCCGCGUGAGUGAAGAAGUAUCUCGGUACGUAAAGCUCUAUCAGCAGGGAAGAAAAUGACGGGACCUGACUAAGAAGCCCCGGCUAACUACGGGCCAGCAGCCGCGGUAAUACGUAGGGGGCAAGCGUUAUCCGGAUUUACUGGGUGUAAAGGGAGCGUAGACGGGAGCACAAGUCUGGAGUGAAAUCCCGGGGCUUAACCCCGGAACUGCUUUGGAAACUGUGCGGCUGGAGUGCAGGAGGGGUAAGCGGAAUUCCUAGUGUAGCGGUGAAAUGCGUAGAUAUUAGGCGGAACCCCGGUGGCGAAGGCGGCUUACUGGACUGUAACUGACGUUGAGGCUCGAAAGCGUGGGGAGCAAACAGGAUUAGAUACCCCUGUAGUC
rnacentral:rRNA from 1 species